UUGGAGCAAAAUGGCUCAGCUUUUACCAAUGUACAUGAUUGCAGGCCAGUCUAUUCAAGAUGCACUUUUGGAUGGUAUGUAGCCAACAAUCCAAGAGAGAUGGAAGGAAGUAAAAGACCACGAAAACCAAAUUGGACAGAAGAGCAGUGUUUACUUUUAGCUCAGUUAGUUGAAGAAAAGAAAGCAAUUUUAAAAGGUAAAUUUGGCUCCAGUGUCACAGCUCAAGGAAAGAGGCAGACCUGGGAGAAAAUAUCUCAGCAGAUAAACUCCUCUUUCCCUCUGGUUGUGCGCACCAGUGAGGAAUGUGAAAAGCGGUGGUAUGUGUUGCCGUCUCAAGCCAGGAGGGAGAUUGCAGCACACAAACGGGAUUCUUCAAGCACAGGUGGAGGACCACCCGCUAAACAACUGUCUCAGGUAGCGGAAACUGUAUUUAAUGUACUUGGACACUCAGAAAUAUCUGUCACUGGGCUGAAGGAAGGCACAGACAGCUCAAUGAUCCAGCUAAUGGGAAUACAACAAAGCAUGGAACCAUCAGAGGA